rnacentral:sRNA from 1 species
AAACGAUGUCCUGCAGCUGUUGAGGCUGA